GACGAACGCUGGCGGCGUGCUUAACACAUGCAAGUCGAACGGACAGGCCCUGCUUUUGUGGGGUGCUCGAGUGGCGAACGGGUGAGUAACACGUGAGUAACCUGCCCUUGACUUUGGGAUAACUUCAGGAAACUGGGGCUAAUACCGGAUAGGAGCUCCUGCUGCAUGGUGGGGGUUGGAAAGUUUCGGCGGUUGGGGGUGGACUCGCGGCUUAUCAGCUUGUUGGUGGGGUAGUGGCUUACCAGGGCUUUGACGGGUAGCCGGCGUGAGAGGGUGACCGGCCACAUUGGGGCUGAGGUACAGGCCCAACUCCUCCCGGGGGCAGCAGUGGGGAAUAUUGCACCAUGGGCGGGAGCCUGAUGCAGCAACGCCGCGUGCGGGAUGACGGCCUUCGGGUUGUAAACCGCUUUCGCCUGUGGCGAAGCCGGAGUGACGGUAAUGGGUAAAGAAGCACCGGCUAACUACGUG
rnacentral:rRNA from 1 species